AUUUGCCUUUGCAAACAAUCUAGCGAGUCUGUAACAUGAUCGUCCACGCUCUGACCUGAGAUUACUGUUCUACCACUUGAUGUUCCUGUUUUUACUCAAGAACUGCACGCUGUGAGUACGACGGAAGCAACGACGACGUCUCCCCGGAGGAGCAGAGAGGGGCCAGGUAAGCGGGCGGGCCGGGGCAGGCCCGCUGCGCGGUGGGCAGGGCGUCCCUCUCUGCCGCGGAGCUGGGUGCCCGUGGACAGAGCCCGCAUGUGAGUGGGCAGCUCUGGCCAGGUGCCAACGAGCAGGACGGCGUUCCGGGCGCGUCGGGCUGCUGGGCCUGCCUGCCGUCUCUCCCCAGGGGCCCCCGGGAUCGCGCUCCCCGUCGUCUCGGGUGUGAUCGUCCUGCUCGCUGCCUACCUCGUCUACAAAUACGCCCGGUGCGGUUGGUCCCGGAGCGCGGAGCGGCUGGGGGUGGCGGAGCCAGACACCGCUCAUCGCCCUCCUCGCCUCUUCUGUAAACCAGGAGCAGCUCCUGACGACACGCCCCAAAGGUAGAGAUCGUCGCUCGCGCCUGCGCCCUGCCGUCCCCUGACACCCGGACGCCCGUCUGACCCCAAGCUCUCAGGGUCCCCGGCCAGCUCCGACGGCCACUGGCUGCUCUCCGUCCCACUCCUCACGGCCACCGCGCAGCCCUGUGGUCAGUCCCGACCGUCCUCCAGGGCCUCUCGCUGAGCUGCCCCUGGCCUCGGCUCUCCCUGCUCCUGAGACCGCGCGGUGCGUUUGCGCCCCACCCUGCCUCCCCAAGGUGGCCGUGGUGACCUUGACCUCUCUCUCUGUGCUCUCCUCUGCUUCCCUCCCCUCAGCUCCAGCUCUUCCAAGGAGCCCGAGGAGGGGGCCACAGUCAGAUCGACCGGGGAAGAUACCAUGUCUUCCACUCAGGACAUCGAGACAGCCGUGCCCCUGCAACCGCAGACACUCGGAAAGGAGGACCCCGGGACGGCUUCCGGAAGGGGCCUGAACGCGGGGUGCGUCUGCAGCUGGGAGGAGCUGCCCCUCUGCUCGGAAACCCCAGCCCGCGACUUCUGCUGUCCUCGGAUUCCGCCUGGCCCUGGGCUGGGAAAGCUAAGGGCAGAGCUGUCCAGACGGCGGGGCCAGCAUGGCACCGGGACCUCCUGCCACUGCUGGCCUCGGGCGGGUGUCUUCCCGCCCGGUCCUCAUUUCUGCAUCCCACGAUGGGCAUCACACACUGCAGUCCCGGUGCUGUCAAGAAGCGGGUACGGGGCCUGCUGGAGACCCCACCCCAAUAUGCAGGACGCAGCAAGUCCCGCGGGGACUCAGGGAGCAGUCACUGAAGUUACACUUUUGUCCUCUGUGAUUCUGUGUUUUAAAAUUAUGGUAAAAUUCAUAUAGGGAAAAUCACCUGUGUGUGUGUGUGUGAGAGAGAGAGAGAGAGAGAGAGAAAGAAAGACAGGGCCUCGCUGUGUAGCCCAGGCUGGACUUGAACUCACCCCAAUCCUCCUGCCUCAGCCUCAAGUGCUGGGGCGAUGGGCGUGCGCCCCACAGUGGGCUGAGAAAUCACCGGCUUAGUGCGCUGCUCAGAGCACUCCCCGCUCUGCUCUGUAGUCCCAGAAUGUUGUCACCCCAAACGGACGGACACGGCCUUUCUUCACUCCCCUUACCCCUCCCAGCCCAGCCCUCCGAGCUGUCACUGAGCACGUGGACAGCUGUCCAUGCGGAUUAUCCGUCACCACUUUACAAGUCAUCGCAAACGGGAGGCGGACGCUGGGUCUGGACCUCGGUCUCGCACGCCUGUAAUCCCAGGAGGAUCCCUUUUUUUUUUUUUCUGUCUGUCUGUCUGAGACAGGGUCCCACUGUGCAGUUCAGGCUGGCCUUGAGCUCACUUUGUAGCCCAGGCUGGUCUCGAACUCACAGCGAUCCAGGAGCAUCACUUCACCGAGGGUUCCAGGCAGGCCUGGGCUGCAGAGAGUGAGACCCUGUCUCAAAGAACAAAGACAAAAAUAAAGUAAAAUGAUAUAAAGCGAGAGGUGUCAUUUAC
rnacentral:lncRNA from 1 species